CCUACGGGAGGCAGCAGUGGGGAAUAUUGCACAAUGGGCGAAAGCCUGAUGCAGCGACGCCGCGUGAGGGAUGACGGCCUUCGGGUUGUAAACCUCUUUCAGCAGGGAAGAAGCGAAAGUGACGGUACCUGCAGAAGAAGCACCGGCUAACUACGUGCCAGCAGCCGCGGUAAUACGUAGGGUGCGAGCGUUGUCCGGAAUUAUUGGGCGUAAAGAGCUUGUAGGCGGUUUGUCGCGUCUGCUGUGAAAAUCCGGGGCUCAACCCCGGACUUGCAGUGGGUACGGGCAGACUAGAGUGUGGUAGGGGAGACUGGAAUUCCUGGUGUAGCGGUGAAAUGCGCAGAUAUCAGGAGGAACACCGAUGGCGAAGGCAGGUCUCUGGGCCACUACUGACGCUGAGAAGCGAAAGCAUGGGGAGCGAACAGGAUUAGAUACCCUGGUAGUCCAUGCCGUAAACGUUGGGCGCUAGGUGUGGGACUCAUUCCACGAGUUCCGUGCCGCAGCUAACGCAUUAAGCGCCCCGCCUGGGGAGUACGGCCGCAAGGCUAAAACUCAAAGGAAUUGACGGGGGCCCGCACAAGCGGCGGAGCAUGCGGAUUAAUUCGAUGCAACGCGAAGAACCUUACCAAGGCUUGACAUAUACCGGAAACUUCCAGAGAUGGUUGCCCCCUUUGGGUCGGUAUACAGGUGGUGCAUGGUUGUCGUCAGCUCGUGUCGUGAGAUGUUGGGUUAAGUCCCGCAACGAGCGCAACCCUCGUUCUAUGUUGCCAGCACGUUAUGGUGGGGACUCAUGGAAGACUGCCGGGGUCAACUCGGAGGAAGGUGGGGAUGACGUCAAAUCAUCAUGCCCCUUAUGUCUUGGGCUUCACGCAUGCUACAAUGGCCGGUACAAAGGGCUGCGAUGCCGUAAGGUGGAGCGAAUCCCAUAAAACCGGUCUCAGUUCGGAUUGGGGUCUGCAACUCGACCCCAUGAAGUCGGAGUCGCUAGUAAUCGCAGAUCAGCAACGCUGCGGUGAAUACGUUCCCGGGCCUUGUACACACCGCCCGUCAAGUCACGAAAGUCGGUAACACCCGAAGCCGGUGGCCCAACCCUUGUGGGGGGAGCCGUCGAAGGUGGGACUGGCGAUUGGGACUAA
rnacentral:rRNA from 1 species